UGGGGGAUAGCUCGGCGAAAGCCGGAUUAAUACCGCAUACGAUCUAAGGAUGAAAGUGGGGGACCGCAAGGCCUCACGCUCCUGGAGCGGCCGAUAUCUGAUUAGCUAGUUGGUGGGGUAAAAGCCUACCAAGGCGACGAUCAGUAGCUGGUCUGAGAGGACGACCAGCCACACUGGGACUGAGACACGGCCCAGACUCCUACGGGAGGCAGCAGUGGGGAAUUUUGGACAAUGGGGGGAACCCUGAUCCAGCAAUGCCGCGUGAGUGAAGAAGGCCUUCGGGUUGUAAAGCUCUUUUGUCAGGGAAGAAACGGUUCUGGAUAAUACCCGGAACUAAUGACGGUACCUGAAGAAUAAGCACCGGCUAACUACGUGCCAGCAGCCGCGGUAAUACGUAGGGUGCAAGCGUUAAUCGGAAUUACUGGGCGUAAAGCGUGCGCAGGCGGUUGUGCAAGACAGAUGUGAAAUCCCCGGGCUUAACCUGGGAACUGCAUUUGUGACUGCACGGCUAGAGUGUGUCAGAGGGGGGUAGAAUUCCACGUGUAGCAGUGAAAU
rnacentral:rRNA from 1 species